CAGCACCUCAAGUGGUCAGGAUGAUUAUUGGGCCUAAAGCAUCCGUAGCCUGCUCUGUAAGUUUUCGGUUAAAUCCAUACGCUCAACGUAUGGGCUGCCGGGAAUACUGCAAAGCUAGGGAGUGGGAGAGGUAGACGGUACUCGGUAGGAAGGGGUAAAAUCCUUUGAUCUAUUGAUGACCACCUGUGGCGAAGGCGGUCUACCAGAACACGUCCGACGGUGAGGGAUGAAAGCUGGGGGAGCAAACCGGAUUAGAUACCCGAGUAGUCC
rnacentral:rRNA from 1 species